AGAGCGAACGUUUGCGGCGGGCUUAACACAUGCAAGUCGAACGAGAAUCCCUUCGGGGAGGAAAGUGGCGCACGGUGCGUAACACGUGGAUAACCAACCCAUUGGUUGGACAACACCGGGAAACUGGUGCUAAUACCAGAUGUGUCGCAGCUGUCUUCAGGCGGUUGCGAGAAAGGCCCGCAAGGGUCGCCAACGGACGGGUCCGCGUCCCAUCAGCUAGUUGGUGAGGUAAUGGCUCACCAAGGCAAAGACGGGUAGCUGGUCUGAGAGGAUGAUCAGCCACACUGGAACUGAGACACGGUCCAGACUCCUACGGGAGGCAGCAGUGGGGAAUAUUGCGCAAUGGGCGAAAGCCUGACGCAGCCACGCCGCGUGAGCGAUGAAGGUCUUCGGAUCGUAAAGCUCUGUGGGGGGAGAAGAAGAAAAGCCGGUGAAGAGCCGGCCCUGACGGUAUCCCCUUAGCAAGCACCGGCUAACUCCGUG
rnacentral:rRNA from 1 species